rnacentral:tRNA from 1 species
GCGGGUGUAGCUCAAUGGCAGAGCAUCAGCUUCCCAAGCUGGCUACGAGGGUUCGAUUCCCUUCACCCGCUCCA